AUGAACGCUGGCGGCGUGCUUAACACAUGCAAGUCGAACGGAAAGGCUCCUGCUUGCAGGGGUACUCGAGUGGCGAACGGGUGAGUAACACGUGGGUGAUCUGCCCUGCACUUCGGGAUAAGCCUGGGAAACUGGGUCUAAUACCGGAUAGGACGAUGGUUUGGAUGCCAUUGUGGAAAGUUUUUCGGUGUGGGAUGAGCUCGCGGCCCAUCAGCUUGUUGGUGGGGUAAUGGCCUACCAAGGCGUCGACGGGUAGCCGGCCUGAGAGGGUGUACGGCCACAUUGGGACUGAGAUACGGCCCAGACUCCUACGGGAGGCAGCAGUGGGGAAUAUUGCACAAUGGGCGCAAGCCUGAUGCAGCGACGCCGCGUGGGGGAUGACGGCCUUCGGGUUGUAAACUCCUUUCGCUAGGGACGAAGCGCAAGUGACGGUACCUGGAGAAGAAGCACCGGCUAACUACGUG
rnacentral:rRNA from 1 species